rnacentral:lncRNA from 1 species
CUCAAAAACACCAACAAAUUAGAAAACAUAAAAAAUUCUGUUUUUUUCGAAUUUUUUUUUUCUACUCGUCUCAUCGCUCGAGCAACGCUUGCUCUGAGCUCAAGCUUCAAGCCUCCAUAGCAGAAGCUUGAAGCUUUGUUGCUCCCUGUCUCUCUCAAUCUAUCUCUUCGUCCCUCUCUCUCAUCAGUAACUUUUAGGGCUGGGCAUCUGAGCACCGCCCUCGCCGCCUCCUCUCGUCUCUGCGAUUCUGUCAGUUGAAAUCUCGGCGUCACACGCCACCGAACAGGCGCGCACCAUUGGCUCGUCGUGAGCUGGAGUUGCUAAUCUCCGAUCUCUACAAUCGGGUAAUUUUUAGUUCCCUUUUUGUCCUUUAUAACUGAAGAUUGGAGUUUUUUUUUUCAUUUGGAUUUAUAGCUUAUUUAUAUCUAAUUUGAUUUUAUUUAUAUGAAUUCUUGUGUGUAACCUGAUUGAUUAUUUUUUCAUAGAAAGUGAUGAAAUGCUUUUAGAUUUUGACAUUAUGGGUCCAUUGUGUUCCCUAUUCUGGUUAUAGAAUUCAUUGGUUUCAAUUUUUUCAGUUGUUUUUGUUUUUUGUUUUUAUUAUCUCAUUUGAAGUCUCUAGCACUCAGAAGUCUGAAGGAUAUUUGCUCAGUUAUGCUAUUCAUAUGGGUUGUAAUUUCUGAGAUCCUGCUUAUGUUGAAUUGUUCAUUUGAUGCUUCUCUGCAAUUUUUUUUCAUGUAUUGGUCCAUAAAAGAAGUAUUAAUAUGUUAAUCAACUUCUAUAUUCUAUUUAAAAAGAAUUCUUGAAUAUGUAGUCUUUUGCACAUCAGCUUGCCAUUAGUAUGAGCUCUGCAGUCAAAAUUAACUCAAUUUAUUGUGAUUGAUCGUUUCACUUAACUUGACAAGUUUUGAUAAGAGCUUGUUCAG